GCGACUGAAAUGUCACGAGCUCAGCAUGUGAAUCAGCGUUUGCUCUAGUGAGCGCUGAAUUGUGGUCUUACGGUUGUUGCGCCAAUUCGUCCAGACCAUGUUUUUUGGAAUAAAAUAGCACAGAGGGUGAAACUCCCGUUUGUCUGGUCACACGAAGCAARAACYACUGAGUCGAGUUGUUUGGGAUUGCAGCUCAAAUGCGGUGGUAAAUUCCAUCUCAAGCUAAAUAUUGGUAGGAAACCGAUAGCGAACAAGUACCGUGAGGGAAAGAUGCAAAGAACUUUGAAAAGAGAGUGAAAGAGUACCUGAAAUUGCUGAAAAGGAAGCGAACGAAGCUAGUGAACGCUCUGUCAUACUUUCCUACUUGCUUGCAAGUCGGACGCUGUGGCGAGCCCUGUUCGAUUUGAUUGCUCCAUGUGAAAGCAGGCAAAGAAAAGACACCCAUUCUCUUU
rnacentral:rRNA from 1 species